UACGGGGGGAGCAAGCGUUGUUCGGAUUUACUGGGCGUAAAGGGCGCGUAGGCGGUCAGCACAAGUCAGUUGUGAAAUCUCCGGGCUUAACUCGGAAAGGUCAACUGAUACUGUGCGACUAGAGUGCAGAAGGGGCAACUGGAAUUCUCGGUGUAGCGGUGAAAUGCGUAGAUAUCGGGAGGAACACCUGCGGUGUAGACGGCUUACUGGACCGUGACUGACGCUGAGGCACGAAAGCGUGGGUAGCAAACAGG
rnacentral:rRNA from 1 species